AACAAAGUUCUAAAUUUCGUUCGUUAGUGAUGACAUGGCAAAUCCGAGUUGAUGACAUGGCGGAUGAUAUUGAAAAUCAGUUAAUCAGCUGACAAACGAAUAUAUAACUCAGCCUAAGUAAAUCAGCCAUUAUGUUCAAUGUAACUCAGCCGAACCGUGGAUACUAUUUCAGUAAUUAAUUUUUUGCUAAUAAAUCAGCCGUAUUUAGGCUGAAAAACUAUAAAUCAGCCGUAUCGUCACAUAAAUCAGCCAUCAAACGAAUGCCAUUCUAGUAAUUAAUCUUUCACUAAUAAGUCAGCCGUAAAUAAGCUGAGUUUGCUGUUAAUCCAUCAUAUUACAGCUGAUUAAAUAUAAUCUCAGCCGUAACAACAUCUCAUUAGUCGGCCGUAAAUUUAAUAACUCAACCUGUCGAUGUUCAUUAACUCAGUCAGGGAAACAUAACUCAGCCAUUUCUUAACUACAACUCAGCCGGAUUUUCCAGAAAUCAUACCGCCGAUGUAUAAGUCAGUUGUAACUUGUGUAUGUAAGUCAUCCAUUAUCCCAUAAAUCAGCCACAUUUCUGUAAAUCAGUCGUACCGGGCGGCUGACUUAUGUUCUUAAGUUAGCCAUUUCCUCUUAAGUUAGCCGUGUUUAUUAAUUCAGCCGACACGUAGCAAUAAAUCAGCCGUAAUGACGUAUGUUACGAUUUACGGCUGACUUAAAGAAAACACGGAACCCAAUUCCUACGUAGCGCCAGGUUUUUGCUUAUGUGGCAACGGAAAGUAAUUGCAUUCUUGUAAAUACCAUUUUUCUGAUAACGUAAAAAAUGGCACGCUUGGUAUUUAAAAAAUGCCAGUAAUAGAAAAAAAGAUUUGUAUGGUUCUAGUCAAUUUUCCUAAAAUAUGUUAUGUUUGAGUAAACUUCCCUAAAAUAAAUGAAACAGUAAGUCAAAUUUGAAAACGUUUCCGUAAACGACAUGGAGUCGAAAUAUGAUAUAUCUUUCCUUAACUCUUAAUUUCACUUUGUUAGUGCGACUAGACAUGUCCCAUGCUGAGCGGGCUGUGGACGACGCACGUGGGGGAGCCGAACCAUGGCAGAUCUAAGUAGGAUAGGAAGGUGGCAGCUGCCCCCACAAAAAUUUACAAAUUAAUGUUUGUGCAUUAGACAUCACGUAUAUCUAUAGCUUAGUUGGCCAAAUCCUUUUUUUUGCCCCCAUUAAGACUGGAGCUCGAAACCUAACGGCUACCGCCCCCAUUAAAAGUACUUUUUCCUUCUCCUCACGUUCUUUUCCUUGUCUUUUUUUGGUCAUCAGAUUUUCAUUCAGUUAAAUUUUGAAACCUUUGACCAAAGAAAAUCAUGUGGGAAGGAAAUGACGUCUUUUGUCUUUUGAUCAUUUCAACUUGCUCUCUCCCUCUCUCAUUCAAUUCAAGAAUAUAUAAUGCUCGUUGCAACCUUUCCAACAAACUAUUAAUCUGGCAACGACAACCAUUAACCACCGAAAAAGUCAGCCUAUUCAUUUUGUACAAGAAACAGAGGUUCCAACAAUUAUAAAUUUAUUAUGUAAAGCAAGUUUAUUGCAGUAGCUUAAGGUUGUUGCUUAAGGCUAAUUGCAAUUAAAAUAAUAGAAAAAAAAGAUAAAAAGAGAACAGGCGUUGCUUAAUUAAGCACGGGAAGCGUCGCCCCUUACCGUGCACGUGUCGCAAAGUAAAUGGCUGGAGGACAGGUGUCGUUGGCUUCCGUCGCGUUUCUUCUUUUCUUUUUUUCUCUCUCUCUCUUUCUCUCUGUGGCGAAAGGCGACAUCUCUUGCGAUCGGUGGCUCUCUUCGAUGAAACGGCGGCGUCUCUCUCGGUGGCUGUCGAAGGCGAACGACGUCCCCUCUAUCUGUUGCUCUCGUCCACCAAGGAAAACGGCGAGAUCUCUUUCUGUUUCUUUCCUCUCCUCGGCGAAAGGCGAGAUCUCUCCCGAUAGGUGGCUCUGUUCGACGAUAAGGCCACGUCUCUGUCGGUGGCUGUCGUUGAGGAAGGGAAACGGCACUUUCUCUCUCUGUUUCUUUCCUCUCCUCGGCGAAAAACGGCUCUCUCUCUCUCUCAAGCGUUGUUAAUAUGUAUAUUUGUUUGGAUAUUUCAAUUUUGCAUGUAUUUGAUUUUGGUUAUCUCGAACAGAUCGAGAAAAUUAAAAUGAGGAACAUGCAAUAAUUUGUUUUGAUUUUUUUCCUGUCUUUGUGUUGUGAGAUGGAAGAAUCAAGAGGCAUGAUCAAGGUUUCUCAGGCAAAAGCCACACGAUUAUUCAUAACAAAAGCCACACGAUCAAGAGCUACAUGAUAAAGGUUGUUUGAUCAAGAUGCUUGAUCCAGGUUCAUGAGAGCAAAGUCCUACGAUUGUUGAUACAUACAGCAGUGAGGUGAUGGCUUGUACUCUUGUAUCACGAGAGUGGAGAGGCAGGAAGAACACGACAGCCGGAGGCAGAGAAGAACACGAGAGUUUUGUAUUGUCUUGUGAAUGACUUGUACUAUUGUAUUUUUCUGUCACAAGAGUUUUGUAUUUUUCUGUUCAUGGCUGACUUGUACAGAACAAGAAAAACACGAGAGUUUUGUAUUAUUUCCCUCUUGUUAUUUUGCAUCACGGAGAUGUCACUAGAGUUUUAUAAAAAUGACUCAUCGCAAUCACACUUAUAGUAUUUUUAACUUUCUCAUUCUCUCAUUCUCUCAUUUCUUGCAAGUUAUCAUCCAUCACACUCAUCAUCUCAAUUCCCUCCAUUCUCUUUAAAUUCUCAUCACAAACACACUCAUUCUCUCAAUUCCCUCAAUUCUCUUUAAGUUUUCAUAACAAUUUUCACUUAUAAAAAACUAUUUUUCAUUCUCUCAAUUCUGUCCAUUCUCUCAAUUCUCAUCACAAGCACACUUAUAAAAAUCUUAAAAAAUUUCAUCUCAUGACAUCUUCUUCUCAUAACAAUUUCGAAGAGUCAAUGGAUGAAAAUUUCGAUCAAUAUUUUGAUCAAACUUUCGAUGAAGCAUUCGAUGAAGCAUUUGAGAAUUUGGGUGAGAAGACAAGAAAAAGAAGAGUUUUUAUCGAAAGAAACCGUGAAGAAGGUCAUCUCCGAUUAUGGAAUGAUUAUUUUAGUGACGCUCCAACGUAUCCAUAAAAUCUAUUCCGACGACGAUUUCGAAUGAACAAACCAUUGUUCAUGCAUAUUGUUGAUCGUCUUUCAAAUGAAGUUCAAUUCUUUCGCCAGAAGAAGGACGGUCUCGGAAGGCUUGGUAUCUCUACACUUCAAAAGUGUAUAGCAGCUAUUCGUGUGUUGGCAUAUGGUUCUGCGCUUGAUGCGGUCGACGAAUACCUCAGGCUCGGUGCAACCACUACUCGGUUAUGUGUGGAAAAUUUUGUCGAAGCAGUAAUAGAUUUGUUCGGCGAUCAGUACCUAAGAAGACCAACACAGGAUGAUCUUCAACGUCUACUUCAUAUUGGAGAGCUUCGUGUAUUUCCCGGGAUGAUAGGAAGCAUCGAUUGUAUACAUUGGGAGUGGAAGAAUUGUCCCACCGCUUGGAAAGGGCAAUAUUCUUGUGGUUCUGGAAAACCGACAAUCGUUUUAGAGGCGGUUGCUUCAUAUGAUCUUUGGAUAUGACAUGCGUUUUUUGGACCUCCAGGUACCUUAAAUGAUAUCAAUGUUCUUGAUCGCUCACCUGUUUUUGAUGACAUAAUAAAUGGUCAAGCUCCGCAAGUGAAUUUCUCGGUCAACGGAAGAGAGUAUCAUUUGGCUUACUAUCUCACCGAUGAUCUUUAUCCAAAAUGGGCAACUUUUAUCUAAUCUAUUCCAAUUCCACAAGGGCCUAAAGCAGUUUUAUUUGCUCAACGUCAAGAAGCUGCCCGAAAAGAUGUCGAACGUGCUUUCAGAGUCUUGCAAGCUCGAUUUCCCAUUGUUAAAAAUCCGGCACUUUCUUGGGAUAAAGUCAAGAUUGGAAAGAUUAUGAGAGCAUAUAUCAUACUCCAUAGUAUGAUAGUAGAAAACGAACGAGAUGACUACACUCAAUACGAAGUUUCUGAUUUUCAACAAGGAGAAGGAAGCGGAAGUUCACAUAUCGAUCUCACAUAUUCAACAGACAUCCCUACAAAUAUCGCCAAUCAGAUAGGUGUUCGAACAAGAAUUUGUGAUAGACAAGCGCAUCAACAACUGAAAUGUGAUUUUGUUGAACAUAUAUGGCGUAAAUUUGGACGUGAUCAAGAUAACAACUGAGCUUCGAUGUCUCUUUCAAAUUAUUAUCGUUUUUUUAGUAAUUUUUGUUUUCCUGAUUUUAUGUUUGUAUUUUAAAAUUUAUGUUUAAAAUGUUAUGUUUAACUGAAAUUUUAUGUUUAAAAAUAAAUUUAAUAUUUUUUUAUUGUUAA